rnacentral:rRNA from 1 species
GGAUUCCCCUAGUAACUGCGAGUGAAGUGGGAAAAGCUCAAAUUUAAAAUCUGGUAGUCUUUUGAUUGCCUGAAUUGUAAUCUAGAGAAGCACUAUCCGCUCUGGACCAUGUAUAAGUCUCCUGGAAUGGAGCAUCAUAGAAGGUGAGAAUCCUGUCUUUGACAUGGAGUUUAUCAGAGCUUUUGUGAUGUGCUCUCAAAGAGUCGAGUUGUUUGGGAAUGCAGCUCUAAAUGGGUGGUAAAUUCCAUCUAAAGCUAAAUAUUGGCGAGAGACCGAUAGCGAACAAGUACCGUGAGGGAAAGAUGAAAAGAACUUUGAAAAGAGAGUUAAAUAGUACGUGAAAUUGUUGAAAGGGAAACACUUGAAGUCAGUUAUAUUAAUCAGAGAUCAACCUUGUUUUUUUUACUUGGUGUAUUUUCUGGUUGAUAAGUCAGUAUCAAUUUUAAUCAGUGGAAAAAGGCUGAAAGAAUGUGGCAUUUUCGGAUGUGUUAUAGCUUUCAGUCAUAUACAUUGGUUGAAAUUGAGGAACUCAGCAUGCCGCAAGGCCGGAUUUUUAAAUCACGUUCAUGCUUAGGAUAUUGACAUAAUGGCUUUAAUUGACCCGUCUUGAAACACGGACCAAGGAGUCUAACAUAUCUGCAAGUAUUUGAGUAGAAAACUCAGGUGCAUAAUGAAAGUGAAAGUUGGGAUCUCUGUCAUAGAGAGCACUGAUGCCUGGACCAGAUCUUUUGUGACGGAUCCACGGUAGAGCAUGUAUGUUGGGACCCGAAAGAUGGUGAACUAUGCCUGAAUAGGGUGAAGCCAGAGGAAACUCUGGUGGAAGCUUGUAGCGAUUCUGACGUGCAAAUCGAUCGUCAAAUUUGGGUAUAGGGGCGAAAGACUAAUCGAACCAUCUAGUAGCUGGUUCCUGUCGAAGUUUCCCUCAGGAUAGCAGAAACUCAUAUCAGAUUUAUGUGGUAAAGCGAAUGAUUAGAGGCCUUGGGGUUGUAACAACCUUAACCUAUUCUCAAACUUUAAAUAUGUAAGAACGAGCUGUCUCUUAAUUGGACUGCUCGGUGAUUGAGAGUUUCUAGUGGGCCAUUUUUGGUAAGCAGAACUGGCGAUGCGGGAUGAACCGAACGCGAGGUUAAGGUGCCAGAAUUCACACUCAUCAGAUACCACAAAAGGUGUUAGUUCAUCUAGACAGCAGGACGGUGGCCAUGGAAGUCGGAAUCCGCUAAGGAGUGUGUAACAACUCACCUGCCGAAUGAACUAGCCCUGAAAAUGGAUGGCGCUCAAGUGUGAUACCCAUACCUCGCCGUCAGUGUUAAAGUGAUGCACUGACGAGUAGGCAGGCAUGGAGGUUAGUAAAGAAGCUU